rnacentral:rRNA from 1 species
GACGAACGCUGGCGGCGUGCUUAACACAUGCAAGUCGAACGGAAAGGCCCUGCUUUUGUGGGGUGCUCGAGUGGCGAACGGGUGAGUAACACGUGAGUAACCUGCCCUUGACUUUGGGAUAACAUCAGGAAACUCGGGCUAAUACCGGAUAGGAGCUCCUGCUGCAUGGUGGGGGUUGGAAAGUUUCGGCGGUUGGGGAUGGACUCGCUGCUUAUGAGCUUGUUGGUGAGGUAGUGGCUUACCCAGGCUUUGACGGGUAGCCGGCCUGAGGGGGUGACCGGCCUCAUCGGCACUGAGAGACGGCCCAGUCUGCAACGGGAGGCAGCAGUGGGGAAUAUUGCCCAAUGGCCGGAAGCCAGCUGCAGCAACGCCGCGUGCGGGAUGAUGGGCUUUGGGUUAUAAACCGCUUUCGCAUGUGACGAAGCGAGAGUGACGGUAAUGGGUAAAGAAGCAACGGCUAACUACGUG